rnacentral:lncRNA from 1 species
UUUUUUUUUUUUUUUUUUUUUUUUUUUUGCCACACCUGUGGCAUGCAGAAGUUCCCAGGCCAGGGACAGAACCUGCCCUAGAGCAGUGACAAUGCCAGAUUCUUAACCCACUAAGCCCCCAGGGAACUCCCCCAGUUCUCGACUGAUCACUUACCAACCCUGGAACUUUGGGAAUGUCCUUAGACUUCACUACAUUUCUGUUUCUUUAACAAGAACUUGCCUAUUUAUUUUCCAAGGCAUGUGAUGUUGUCCUUCAUCAGCAGAGUAGGAUAUUAGCAGUCUGGACUUGCAAUCCAAGAGAACCUUAAAAUAUUUGCAGUUGAAUUCUGCUGAAAUUCCUGGUUGAGAGGAGUGGUUUUUGGGAAAAGAACUAUUUAACCCCUCUCCCGGGAACUCCAAAAUCUGUCUCUGGAUCAAGUCACAUUAUGGGUAGCCUACACCUUUAGAUUAGUUAGCUCCUUUGAAGAAUCACCUUCACUUAGGUGCAUUUACUAAAGCUCACAGAUGAGAGACCCUUGUAGGAAAUCCACUCUCUCUCUCUCUCUUUUUUUUUUUUUUUUUUGGUCUUUUUAGGGCCAUACUUAUGGCAUGUGAAAGUUCCCAGGCUAGGGGUCGAAUUGGUGCUGUAGCUGCCAGCCUACACCCCAACCACAGCAACGCAGGAUCUGAGCUGCGUCUGUGACCUACACCUCAGCUCACGGCAAUGCCAGAUCUUUAACCCACUGAUCAAGGCCAGGGAUCAAACCCAAGUCCUCAUGGACACUAAUUGGGCUUGCUAACUACUGAGCCAUGAUGGGAACUCUGAAAACCUAUUCUUAUCAAGUGCCUGGCAUGUGCUGGACACAGUAAGUGAGUGAGUUCAUUAUGAUGGUGAACACCUCAGACACAAGUCUGUGCCAUCAUGGAGUUUAUCCAACAGUGGAUCUAGAGCUGGCAAUGUCAGGUGUAAUACUGUGUGGUGAGGAGUAAGACUGGAGCAGUUCAGAGCAUGUAGGAGGAUUUUAUGGACGGUGUCCCAGAGAAAGUGAGAUGUAAGCUAUAGCCUGAGUUGAAGGUAGUCAGAACAUAGGAAAGUGUUCAAGGCAGAGAAUAGCAUUGGUGAAGUCUGGAGGAAGAAUAAACAAGGUGAAUUCUAACAACUUAGAAAAGUCUAGAAUGGCUGCAAAAGGAUUCCAGUGAGAAAGACAUAAGGCUAGAAGAGAGGAGCAAGGCUAGUCAAACAGAAUCUCAAGCCUAGUGAAGGACUUUUCCAUAAAAUAUUGUUGAAAGCUGAACUAUAUCACUUAAUAUGCAUUAUAUAAAACUAUACAGGGGAAAUUCUUCCAGAAUUCUAAUUUAGGAAAAAUCUUGUCCUUGCUAUCUAAUAACUUAUUUUUCUGGAGUCGCAUUGAUUGUAGGGUAUCCAGAGCAGUGCCUUUUCCUUCUGCAUCUUAUUUUAAGAAUAUUAAUCAUUUUUCUUACAACUAUUGAUAUGAUUUAUUUCCUCCUUUGCUGUAAUAAGAAAUGUGUUAACAUUCUGUGUUUUCCUAUCACUCUGGUUACUAGAAAAGCUAAAUAUUUGAUGCUUAAUUAAUAGUUGAUACAGGAUAUAUGAGGUCUUUAGUAUAAUCUGGGGGGCUUUAAGAAAAACAACACAAAAAUUUAAGUAAGAAAAAUGUUUGAUUAAAUAAGUAAAGAGGGGAGUCCCGUCGUGGCGCAGUGGUUAACGAAUCCAACUAGGAACCAUGAGGUUGCAGGUUUGGUCCCUGCCCUUGCUCAGUGGGUUAACGAUCCAGCGUCGCCGUGAGCUGUGGUGUAGGUUGCAGACGUGGCUCGGAUCCCGCGUUGCUGUGGCUCUGGCGUAGGCCAGUGGCUAUAGCUCCGAUUGGACCCCUAGCCUGGGAACCUCCAUAUGCCUCGGGAGCGGCUCAAAGAAAUAGCAAAAAGACAAAAAUAAAUAAAAUAAAAUAAAAUAAAAUAAAUAAGUAAAGAAAUUGCAAAAAAAUUUCAGAUUUUAAAGAGUUAACAAAUAGUACAAACAUUAUAACAUAUGGAAAAACAUCUUAAUGUUUUUAGUAGCUGCCUGACCUCUAUUACAGCAUCCAGGCAUCUGAAGCCCUAUUUCUCCUCCUCUACUCAUGUGUUUCCAGUGCCAGCUUCCAAGACAUAUUCAUAUCACGAUAUGAUCUCUGGUCCUGCACCUUCAGGUCACGUGGAGAAUGAGUAGGUAUAGAGAGUUAGGCGUGGAAAGUAGGAAUCUUUGUAGAAGCCAUUCCCUCAUGAGGAUGGCUAGCCAUGUUGUAACUCUCUAUAAGAGUUUACUGUGUAUCAUACACAUCUGUCACACUAAACCCAAACUAAAUGUCUCCCCAUCUCAGCUUCCCAGAAUGCCCAUGGCCAUUCCAGUGCCAUUUGAAUUUAGGAGAAGCGUGAUGGAGGAACCAUGGGAGUGGAAAGAGACAGAGGGUUAACUAAUUGUAGGUAACUGACAAUUGAGCCUAUGAACUUCCUUUCUGCUUUGUCUACCUUCUAACGUAACUAACCUUACUAUUUUUUUUUGCUGUGAACUGUCUAAAAUAGUUUUUGAGAAGAAAUAGAUAUAAAAAUUUAAUCAAUAGGGUAGUGACCAUAAACCCUACCUAGUUAUCAUUCUUUUAUAGUAAUAAUACCUUAAAAUGUAUGACAAUAAAUAACUUCAUUCACUGUAUGUUGGGCACUGGGCUAAGUGGUUUAGAUGAUUUAUCCUAUUUAAUAUUGACCAAAGCCCCAUGUGAUGGGUACUGUGAUUCCCCCACCAACAUUUUACUGUUGAAAAAAAUGGAAUCUUAAUGAAGUCAAAUAAUUUGCCAAAGGCCAGGUGGUAGGAUGAGAAUUUGAACCCAGGUCUGCCUGCAGUAAAAAGUUUCCCUGAAAAUGGUAUGGACAUACAUGGUAUGUUUAUUUUUCACCAGUGGUGUGAGGACAGGAGGACCAAGUUUCUAUAAAGAGCUUGUUUGUAAAAAUGAAGUAGGAAGUGAACUUACAUGAAAUGGGUUUGUGAAAUUUCAGUUCCAAAUCCUAACCUGAAUUAUGAUUUUUUAAAGUACAAUUGCAU